AGACGAACCGCCCAAACGUUAUUCGGAAUCACUGGGCUUAAAGGGUAUGUAGGCGGCAUGGUCAGUUGGGUGUGAAAUCCCUCGGCUUAACCGAGGAAUUGCGCCCAAUACUGCCAAGCUCGAGGGAGACAGGGGUAAGCGGAACUGAUGGUGGAGCGGUGAAAUGCGUUGAUAUCAUCAGGAACACCGGUGGCGAAGGCGGCUUACUGGGUCUCUUCUGACGCUGAGAUACGAAAGCUAGGGUAGCGAACGGGAUUAGAAACCCCGGUAGUCC
rnacentral:rRNA from 1 species